rnacentral:rRNA from 1 species
AGAGUUUGAUCAUGGCUCAGAUUGAACGCUGGCGGCAUGCCUUACACAUGCAAGUCGAACGGCAGCGCGGGGCAACCUGGCGGCGAGUGGCGAACGGGUGAGUAAUAUAUCGGAACGUGCCCUGGAGUGGGGGAUAACGCAGCGAAAGUUGCGCUAAUACCGCAUACGAUCUAAGGAUGAAAGCGGGGGAUUCGCAAGAACCUCGUGCUCCUGGAGCGGCCGAUAUCUGAUUAGCUAGUUGGUGGGGUAAAGGCCUACCAAGGCAUCGAUCAGUAGCUGGUCUGAGAGGACGACCAGCCACACUGGAACUGAGACACGGUCCAGACUCCUACGGGAGGCAGCAGUGGGGAAUUUUGGACAAUGGGCGAAAGCCUGAUCCAGCAAUGCCGCGUGAGUGAAGAAGGCCUUCGGGUUGUAAAGCUCUUUUGUCAGGGAAGAAACGGUGCGGGCUAAUAUCCCGCACUAAUGACGGUACCUGAAGAAUAAGCACCGGCUAACUACGUGCCAGCAGCCGCGGUAAUACGUAGGGUGCAAGCGUUAAUCGGAAUUACUGGGCGUAAAGCGUGCGCAGGCGGUUUUGUAAGUUUGUCGUGAAAGCCCCGGGCUCAACCUGGGAAUUGCGAUGAAGACUGCAAGGCUUGAAUCUGGCAGAGGGGGGUAGAAUUCCACGUAGCAGUGAAAUGCGUAGAGAUGUGGAGGAACACCGAUGGCGAAGGCAGCCCCCUGGGUCAAGAUUGACGCUCAUGCACGAAAGCGUGGGGAGCAAACAGGAUUAGAUACCCUAGUAGUCC